UACGUAGGGUGCAAGCGUUGUCCGGAAUUAUUGGGCGUAAAGAGUUCGUAGGCGGUCUGUCGCGUCGGAUGUGAAAAUCCAGGGCUCAACCCUGGACCUGCAUUCGAUACGGGCAGACUAGAGUUCGGCAGGGGAGACUGGAAUUCCUGGUGUAGCGGUGAAAUGCGCAGAUAUCAGGAGGAACACCGGUGGCGAAGGCGGGUCUCUGGGCCGAUACUGACGCUGAGGAGCGAAAGCGUGGGGAGCGAACAGG
rnacentral:rRNA from 1 species